rnacentral:rRNA from 1 species
AUUGAACGCUGGCGGCAGGCCUAACACAUGCAAGUCGAACGGACCCUUCGGGGUUAGUGGCGGACGGGUGAGUAACACGUGGGAACGUGCCUUUUGGUUCGGAACAACUCAGGGAAACUUGAGCUAAUACCGAAUGUGCCCUUCGGGGGAAAGAUUUAUCGCCAUUAGAGCGGCCCGCGUCUGAUUAGCUUGUUGGUGAGGUAAUGGCUCACCAAGGCGACGAUCAGUAGCUGGUCUGAGAGGAUGAUCAGCCACAUUGGGACUGAGACACGGCCCAAACUCCUACGGGAGGCAGCAGUGGGGAAUCUUGCGCAAUGGGCGAAAGCCUGACGCAGCCAUGCCGCGUGAAUGAUGAAGGUCUUAGGAUUGUAAAAUUCUUUCACCGGGGACGAUAAUGACGGUACCCGGAGAAGAAGCCCCGGCUAACUUCGUGCCAGCCGCCGGCCGUAACAC